rnacentral:rRNA from 1 species
AAUAGAUACCCCGGUAGUCCACCCCGUAAACGUUGGGAACUAGUUGUGGGGUCCUUUCCACGGAUUCCGUGACGCAGCUAACGCAUUAAGUUCCCCGCCUGGGGAGUACGGCCGCAAGGCUAAAACUCAAAGGAAUUGACGGGGACCCGCACAAGCGGCGGAGCAUGCGGAUUAAUUCGAUGCAACGCGAAGAACCUUACCAAGGCUUGACAUACACGAGAACACCCUGGAAACAGGGGACUCUUUGGACACUCGUGAACAGGUGGUGCAUGGUUGUCGUCAGCUCGUGUCGUGAGAUGUUGGGUUAAGUCCCGCAACGAGCGCAACCCUCGUUCUAUGUUGCCAGCACGUAAUGGUGGGAACUCAUGGGAUACUGCCGGGGUCAACUCGGAGGAAGGUGGGGAUGACGUCAAAGUCAUCAUGCCCCUUAUGUCUUGGGCUUCACGCAUGCUACAAUGGCCGGUACAAAGGGCUGCAAUACCGUGAGGUGGAGCGAAUCCCGAAAAAGCCGGUCCCAGUUCGGAUUGAGGUCUGCAACUCGACCUCA